ACAGAGGACAUAAAAG
rnacentral:sRNA from 1 species